ACACCUGAAGUUUCAGUCCUCACUUCAGCAGCAGUACAAGACAAAACAUUUUCCAACAUUUCACAUUCGACAACAUCUGCAACAAACGGUUUCGCUAGCCGUUGCCGUAACUAGAGGUCUAGCUAUGAUCUCUCCAUGUUCACGGUUAUCCUUUUCCUUUUGGUUUAGGUACUCGCAUUCUGCAAGCACAUGUCAUCGUGGCUUAUACAUGUAUGUUGGAUUAGGAGAAAAAGAUGAUGGCAAGUGUUUUACUACUUUGUUAAGUCAAAAAAUGAUCCUCUUAUGCUUUGGCUAACCAAUGGUCAUGGCUACUCUUCAUUUUCAGGUCUUACCUUUCAAAUAGGUAAUUUUUUAGAUACAUACUUUCUAUGUUAAUUCCUAUAAUAACAAUAACUAGAUUUGGAUUGUAUUUCUAUUACACUUCUAUUUGACCAACUGAUUCCAACAUGUGUGAACUCCUAUAUAGAUUGUAUUACUCAAUCUAAAUUUGAAUUACCCUAUGAUACCUUACUGUAUUACUCAAAAAGUUGUUUUGAAAAAUAAUUUUAUCAAAAAGCUCUUAACUGUAGCCUCAUAAGAAAAAUACUCCCUCUCGAACUAAAUUUGGUGGACUAAAAUAUAAUUAUAAACAAAUUUAAUGUUGUUAUUUCAAAAAUACCCUUAAAUUCAAAUCCGAUUAAGGGUAGUUUAAGAAAUGUGGUUCUUUAUUUUGUAUGAAAUCAAGAAAAUUAAAUGAGCUUAAGUAGCAUUCUUAAUUAGUGUAAAAUUAGGCAUUUUUGCUUAUAUUUUGAAUCUAGAGGGAGUAUUACCUCUGUACAUUUUUACCUGUCCACUUUCGAAGAUAGAACACAAAUUAAUUUGAGAAAUGCAAUUUAUAUCCUGAUAUGACUUCCAAGUCCACUAUCAUUUCUCUCUCAUUUGUGAAGUGUAAAAUAUUUAAGAAUUAGAAUAAUGGCAUAAUUGAAAAGAUAGUAAUUGGUAAUUAAUAUUUUGUUGAACUUUAAAACCGAAAGAUAAGAUAGGAACUAUUUUAUGCAAGUUAUAAAAUAGGAACUAUUUUAUAAAAUUUAUUUCAUGUAAAUUUUCUCCUCAGUAGUACAUGUCAGAAAGACUUAGCCUUCAUUUUAUUUUCCUUAUCCAUCUUUUCUUUACUUAGCUUUGGAGUAUUUUUGGUGUGCUGAGAGGUUAACUUAGUCUGUCUUUGUCCAUUUAUUUUUUACAUGUGUUUAUUGUAACAAUUUGUAGUUUUGACCGUCUUAAAGUGACAAAAGAGAGGCAAGAAUGAAAAGUCAAUUGAUGUGCUUUAAAAAGUUAUACCAUUUUCAGUUGAAAUAUGAAGUUUGAUGUUACACAUGAAAGGUGUGCCUUAGUUUCUUUCAAGAUAAAGCAUAGGUAGGAAGUCUACAUGUUACUUGGAGAGAAACUUUGGUAAGUACAUCUAACUCUAAACUUAUGGAAGGUAUUCAUGUUUUCUUAAUUCUUUUAUAUUUUUUCUAUUAUUUAUGCUCUACUAACAUUAGCAUGUUCUCUGCUUAUAUAUUAUUUCUCUAAUUUCUUAUUCUAAUUUGUGCUUCCUAAUAUAAUAUAAAAUUUCAUGAUAUGUGUUGGAUUAAAGAUGAACUUACUCUUGUUGCAGCCCUAUGG